rnacentral:lncRNA from 1 species
AUGGUCAUCCUCCCUGGUGCCACCCACCGCGGGUCCACUCCGUGGGUCCAGAACUCUGGUGGUGCCUCCAUAAACCGUCCACCUCGAUGGCACCUUGGCCUACAAAGGGACAAAUCGGGUAGGCCGGCAGCAUCUCCCCGAGGCCACCCCUCUCCCCUAAGCGGGAGACCUGACCGGAAGCUAGCACCUGAGCACGCCCCCUCCCACGCUGCUGGGGGGCCCGCACGCUGGUGCGCAUGUGCAGAGCCGUUGUGCCCUGGGAACCUUCCAAAAAUGCAGGUGCCCUUCAAUCCUGCCACUUCACUUCCAGGAAUUCCUCCACGACACGUGUGUGAGCGUAUGCAAUUGCAGCAGUCUGCAACGGCCAGACUGGAAACAACCCGCGUGUCCAUCCGGAGGCGUGGCCACACCACAGGUGGCUGUUUCAGAGAAGGAGGUGAGGGAAGAAAGCCCCCACCUCCUCCUCGGCCAGCGCCCUGGAGCCACCUCUCCCUCUGGCGUGGAGGGCUGCGGGGGUGGCCGAGGGGGCUGUGGGGGCAGCCUGGCCCGCGCUCCCUGCUCGCGCUCUGUCCUGCUGCCCAGUCUGCGCCCCGCAGGCAGGGGGACCCGUCACAACCUAAGUCAGAGCAAACGGAGCCCCAUCUCACGCGGAGCAAAGAGCAAAGCUCUCCAGGGGCGCAGCAGCCCACGCCUGCCCCCUUUGCUCCGAGCCCUCAUCUCCCAUUGCCCCCUCACUCCCAACGACCCACAGCGGCUGCCGGGCUCAGCCUGCAACAUGGCACGCUCCGUCUCGAGCCUUUGCACUGGCUGUUCCUCUGCCUGGAAUGCUGUUCCCCCAGACACCCGCAGGGCCUUCCCCCAAGGUCACGUUCUCUGGCCUCCUCUAUAAAAUUGCAACGCCCUUCCGCUUUCUCCCCCACCUUCCUUGCUUUAUUUUCCCUCCUGGGCACCACUCACCAUCAAAUUGAGGUAGCACUCAUUUGUGUCCUUGGCUGGCUGUCUCCCCAGCUAGAACAUAAACUCCAGAAGACAGAGCGGUUUACCUGUUUGGUCCGUGGCUGUACCCUCUGCCGCCAGAACCAUGCCUGGCACACAGUUGGCACACAAUCCACAUUUGCUAAAUGGAUUAUGUGA